rnacentral:rRNA from 1 species
GCAUAUCAAUAAGCGGAGGAAAAGAAACCCAACCGGGAUUGCCUCAGUAACGGCGAGUGAAGCGGCAAGAGCUCAAAUUUGAAAUCUGGCCCCUCCCGGGGUCCGAGUUGUAAUUUGCAGAGGAUGCUUUGGGUACGGCCCCCGUCUAAGUGCCCUGGAACGGGCCGUCAUAGAGGGUGAGAAUCCCGUCUGGGAUGGGGUGUCCGUGCCCGUGUAAAGCUCCUUCGACGAGUCGAGUUGUUUGGGAAUGCAGCUCUAAAUGGGUGGUAAAUUUCAUCUAAAGCUAAAUACUGGCCGGAGACCGAUAGCGCACAAGUAGAGUGAUCGAAAGAUGAAAAGCACUUUGAAAAGAGAGUUAAACAGCACGUGAAAUUGUUGAAAGGGAAGCGCUUGCGACCAGACUCGCCUGCGGGGUUCAGCCGGCUUUCGGGCCGGUGUACUUCCCCGUAGGCGGGCCAGCGUCGGUUUGGGCGGCCGGUCAAAGGCCUCCGGAAUGUAUCGCCCCCCGGGGCGUCUUAUAGCCGGAGGUGCAAUGCGGCCAGCCCGGACCGAGGAACGCGCUUCGGCACGGACGCUGGCAUAAUGGUCGUAAGCGACCCGUCUUGAAACACGGACCAAGGAGUCUAACAUCUACGCGAGUGUUCGGGUGUCAAACCCGUACGCGCAGUGAAAGCGAACGGAGGUGGGAACCCCUCGGGGUGCACCAUCGACCGAUCCUGAUGUCUUCGGAUGGAUUUGAGUAAGAGCGUAAAUGUUGGGACCCGAAAGAUGGUGAACUAUGCCUGAAUAGGGCGAAGCCAGAGGAAACUCUGGUGGAGGCUCGCAGCGGUUCUGACGUGCAAAUCGAUCGUCGAAUUUGGGUAUAGGGGGCGAAAGACUAAUCGAACCCAUCUGGGUAGCUGGGUUCCUGCGAG